UCAACAAGGCCAACUGUUUUAUUCUCCCUGGGAAUGAAACACUUAUCCCUGACAAUGAAGAAAAAGAAAUGAAGGAAACAUUCAGAGAAGUGACAGACAUCCUCAUACAACAGCAGGCUGAGAUGAACCCAGCAGAUGACACAAGCAGGGAUGCCCUCAGCUUGCAGGCAAGGAUGUGCUGUGUUCGUGAUGCCUCUGGGCGCACACAUGGGUCCUGGCUGUUCAGCAUCAGUGGACAGAAAUCUCUCCUCCUUGACUCAGAGCAAAGAAGAUGGACAGAGCUUGAUCCUAGAGCCAGAUGGCUGAAGACAUGGCAGAAUGACAGCCACAUGAUGGAGUUUUUCCGCAAAGUGUCAGUGGGAGAUUGUCAGAGCUGGCGUAAGAACUUCUUGCUGUACAGGAAGGAAAUGCUGGAGAUCACAGCAACACCAACCACAACCCCAGAAGCAUCACCCUCCAAAGCGACAGUCCUCAGGCCCAGCCUCUGGACCCUCCUGCUCCUCACUGGCUUAGUUCUGCUUUGGCAUGUAAGUGGACCCUUUCAGCACAACUGGUGUUGAAGGCAGCAUUGUGAGGUAAGAGGGAGGCAGAUGGGUGAGGUAGGAGAAUGGGAAAGUGAAUUCCCCAAGUCCAUCCCUGCCCUCUGUGCUGUCCCUUUUUAUACUGGACAGGACCCAAGGAGAAUGAGACCUGUGGGACUCAGUAGAAUGUUCAUCCCUGCCUAGUAACUUCUCAGUAUCUCCCCCAGGGCUCUUAGCAUAAUUAGCAAAUAUGCCCUGAGCACAUGGUCUUGCAGGCCACAGUCCAACUGUCCACCAUCUCCCAUGCC